UCUAGCCCUCUCUGUCACUUUCCAUGCGUUGCCAUGGUAGUUUUCGGUUGAAGAGAGAGAUAGCAUGAAGUGCUCUAAACAACACGGCUUGAUGAACCGAGAUGAUUUUGAACAUUCUCAACUUUGUUCGGUUAGUUAGAAAUAUAUGUACAGCUACUGAACAGCUUUUCGUCGGGGAACAGGAAUAUUGUAUUCUCAGAUAUCAUAUCUUCGAAAAAAUCUUUCCUAAAAACCAUUGGCCUCCCAUUCAAGUUUCCAUUGCGCAGGCCGAUUUUACUAUGCUAGGGUUACACUCUUUCAUCAGGUCUCCUCUUCCUUUAGAUGAGUCUCCCUUUCGUCUCUUUAGAUGAGUUCAGGAUUAUUGUUCAAUGUUCAAUACACGAUAGGACCGAAGGCUAAAUCCAACUACGUGGUAUCAAUAAGUUUAGUAAGCCAUUAGAUGACCGGCAUGGCCUAGGAGGUCGAUAAGCCAAGAAAAAGAAGAAGAUUAUGCAAUGUAGUAUUUUUGACAAUAUUGCUAAAUUUAGCAGACAGUUGCAUGUGCAUGGGUAUCUUAAAUAAUGGCUGAUACUAACUGCUUGCUCUGCAGUAAGAGCAAGGGCGGCCUGGUUGUAUUGCUAGUAAGAGUUCUUGACAACCAAUGAAACAUACUUCCAUAGCGAGUGCGACGGGUAGAACAAGGCGGGUAGAGCCGAAUGGAUGGAGGUAUGUGAGAACAUAGAUAGGUAUGGAGGAGACUAAGGAUGGCACGCCAGUCUCACCAAGAAAUCGACUCACAACGAGCAGUGCUUACAUCUGAUUAUGCCUGCUUUCCGUGGUCUGUAGCUCCUCCAAUAAAAGAGCCUCAACAGAAUCUGGAUGAAAAUUAGUCGAGGUGUGCUACAGAGCUUUAAACCACAAUCGAUGCGCUAGCUCACAAGUUAAACGUUCCCUGUGUCGUUCCCUGUGUAGAAUACCAGGACAGAAAGGACAACCCGAAAGGUCAUAUCACCCAUACCCCGUGGGAAACAUGGUGUUGGGUUUCCGCGUAUACUCAAGCUCAGAUAUUUGGAGCGACAUGUUACUGUUCUGUACGCUGGGGACGUUUUGAGUCGUAGUUGGGUAUGGAUAGCCAUACUAUAAAGUUGCAGUUAACGAAGUGGAUUCCGACGAAGGAUUGACGCCGCGAAGACUGGUCGUGCCGGUUGUAGCGUUCGGAUCGGACGUAAAGCUUCUUCCUGGAUUCAUCAGAACCAGUUUCCCCAACGCUGGACCUCCGUUAGUUGCAAUUACGCUUCUUCGAAAGAUGGCCUGCUUGAUUAAGAUAAACUUGAAGGCCUUUUUCGUGGGUGCCAGGACAAGUUCCCAACGGUUAACUCUUACGAAUUGCGGGCCAUGACAGUGCUCCCCGAUCUGGGUUAUGUGGGAUUCACCGUGACACCAGGCCCGAGAAGCGGACUUGGCAACCGGUGGGACCUCACUAAACCACUCCUCGACCUGAUCCGACCCCUGCCGAUGCGCUGAAGUGCGAA